GAGUGAAGAGGGAAGAGCUCAUCAUUGGAAUCUGGCAGCGUUGCGCUGUCCGAGUUGUAGAUGAGAAGAGUAGGUCAUCUGGACUGCGUGGUGUCCAAGUACAAUAGGCCGUCAGUGGGACAUCAUAGAGGGUGACAAUCCCGUCCUUGACAUCAACGUACGAGUCCAUUACGAUGCCUAUCUCAGAGAGUCGAGCAGUUUGGGAUUUGCUGCUUAAACAUGGGAGGUAGAUUCCUUCUAAAGCUAAAUACAGGCAAGAGACCGAUAGAGAACAAGUACCGCAAGGGAAAGAUGAAAUAGAACUCUGUGAAGGGAGUCAAAAGACGUGAAAUUGUUGCGAGAGAAGCGAUUCAAGUCAGCGUAGCUAGGCCCAUCAAGCCUCGUUGCUUUGGACUAGCUUUGCCAGCGGUCUUGUCCCUUUUAAGAGACUCGACAAAACGACGUGCCCUGCCCGGUCUAACGGGCAGGACCCCUCCCCAGGGGGGGCCCAGUGGCAUGGCUGGUGGAAUGGCUUGCAAUCGACCCGUCUUGAAACACGGACCAAGGAGUCUAACAUGUGUGCGAGUAUAAGGGUGGCAAACCCGUAUGCGCAAAGAAAGUGAUAGCCUUUUUAUGGCUGAGAAUGGCCUGAUGACCAGACAAGCAAUAUCAUGUUCCUCGUACGGUCAUUGCCCAAGUCCCGUGGUCAGAUCCCAUGGACAUGGAGUUAGAGCAUACAUGCUAGGACCCGAAAGAUGGUGAACUAUGCCUGGACAAAGCGAAGCCAAAGGAAACUCUGGUGGAGGCUUGUAGCGAUUCUGACGUGCAAAUCGAUCGUCUGAUCUG
rnacentral:rRNA from 1 species